rnacentral:lncRNA from 1 species
GGCAGAGUCAAUAGUACAUCUUGCCUGAUGCUGAGUCAAACUUAGGCUCUAAUUUUCCUGGGUGUCAGCUGACUGCAAAAACAGUGCCACGUGUCCUGGAAGGAGCGCAGGCUGAGCCAAGGCUUGGGAGCCGAUGCUGCUUGUCCUCCUGCCUGACGAUGAAACUCACCCAUACCGCAGUCUUCAGUUUACUCUGAAGAUGCCCUGGCUCCAACUUCCAAGGCUGGAUUAGAGGUGGGCUGUCACUUCCUCCUGACAUUUGUGUGUGUUCUGAAGAUCCAAACUCCGGUCCUCCUGCUGGUACAGCAAGCUCUUCAAUAGUUGGGCCAUCUCCCAAGACCCAAAUAAGCAAAACAAAAUGAUACUAACAAACAUCCAGUGAUCUGUAAGUCGAUCUGAAGACAUUCAACAUUAUCAUGAGAGCAUAAUUUUUUAAAUGAUUUGUUCAAAGUUUCUACCAAUCUAUCCUGGCAGCAGAGCCACAUGUUAAAGUUAUUGCUGUCUGAGUUACAACAGCUGCCCUGGGAGUCUUGUCUGAACAGCAAGUUAACUGCUGUUCACAGUCAUAUCUGGUCUUUCCCACCCCGAAAUAUACACAAAGGAUUUUUGUCAUUCUUGGCCCUGGUCAGUAGAAGCAACAGAGCACGCCAGAAGAACUCUCCAGGCAGAAUGUCCUUCCACCUGUUUAUGCUGUAAGACAGACUCCCAAAUGUGAGGCGCUGUGGAGAGCUGUUUCUUUGAAUGGCAGCCGAGCGUGCCAGCAGGAUCCUUGGCAGGGAUGCCUAGGCUCUGAAGCUGCCAUUCAGGAGAGCUAAAUAGAGAAGAGAAACUUGAGCAAACCACUUCCUGGAACACUGAGAUCCUGAAUGAGAAAUUUAGAAGCCCCAGAUCCUCUCUAUUCUUAUACCAGCCAAGGUCAGCUUUCCAAGCUCCUGUUUAUUUGAAGCUUUCCCUUUCAAAGGACUGUGGCGAUGGAGGAUGGUAAUAAAAAAGACUUCCUUUUCUUUCAGAAGAUAUUAAAGUUACUGUUGUGCUCCUCUUUAA